rnacentral:sRNA from 1 species
UUGCGCCUGCGGCGGGUCCGGCACGGGCUGCUUUAUUAUAAGCCGCACAAGGUGUCUGCUUUGGCGGCACGCGGCUUAUCGGAAAAGACCAGGAGCUAUUCCGUAUUGGCUUCGCAGGCAGCCGGCCCGUGUACGAUCUCGUACAUUCAGGAAUUAUCCUGAAUUUAAUGGUUUCU